rnacentral:rRNA from 1 species
AUUGAACGCUGGCGGCAUGCCUUACACAUGCAAGUCGAACGGUAACGGGCCUUCGGGUGCCGACGAGUGGCGAACGGGUGAGUAAUACAUCGGAACGUGCCCGAUCGUGGGGGAUAACGAGGCGAAAGCUUUGCUAAUACCGCAUACGAUCUACGGAUGAAAGCAGGGGACCGCAAGGCCUUGCGCGGACGGAGCGGCCGAUGGCAGAUUAGGUAGUUGGUGGGAUAAAAGCUUACCAAGCCGACGAUCUGUAGCUGGUCUGAGAGGAUGAUCAGCCACACUGGGACUGAGACACGGCCCAGACUCCUACGGGAGGCAGCAGUGGGGAAUUUUGGACAAUGGGCGCAAGCCUGAUCCAGCCAUGCCGCGUGCAGGAUGAAGGCCUUCGGGUUGUAAACUGCUUUUGUACGGAACGAAAAGCCUUCUUUUAAUACAGGAGGGUCAUGACGGUUCCGUAAGAAUAAGCACCAGCUAACUACGUG